CUUUAUGAAGGUGUCCUUUCUAAAUGUGGAAAAUUUUGAAAAGUUUUGCAUGAAUGACAUUUUUUUUUAUUGGCACAAAUGUCCUCUAUACAAUUUUCUAAACAAAAGCCUCAUCUUCUCUCUUCCAACCACCACUUGUUCUAGGGGCGGAGCCAACUACAGACCAGUGAGGGUAGGUGCCCGCACUGGGAUUUCAAGCACUGAAAUUUUAGGCAGUAGAUGAAGACGGUGCCAGCACUGAGAAUUCCGACAGAUCCAGGCAUCACUUGAAGUCAAAGAGUUGAGCGCAGAGUGGAAACCUGGAAGUGGAAGAAGGGUAUAAGGGUUUUUUCUUAAGCUAACUAAUAAUUUUUUUCUAAACUGUAACCUGUAAGCCUUUUCUGUCCAUACCAAGAAGAGAAGAAAAUUCCAGAGCCGCCAUCGCAGUGAAGACUGAAGAGCAGGGAUGAAUUGAUGGGGAAGGUGAGUUGUUGGGCCAUUUUUUUUAAAAAAAAUUGUGGGCUUUUUGUUAAAUUGGGCUUUUCUUAACAUUAACCCAUGAUCAUAGCCCAUAUGCCUACAUCAGUUAAAACCGUUCCCACUGACCAAGGUAACACAGACAGUAGACCAAAUCUGGUAAAUCGAUUGAAACCCUAUCUUUGAUUCUAAGCUGAGGGAGCCUCGACGCUGCGAUGCCACUGCUUGAUCUCGGAUUGCUAUAUUGGCUCCAACGUUUGCCCAAUUGAAAGGCUCGAUUUCUGGUGUCAAUGCAAGUUCUGGGGUCAGGUAAAGGUUGAAGGUGGUUGGAAAUCCUAGUUGAUUAUAUUUUUGUAGUUCAAGCUGUUCAGCUAUUGUUUCAUAAAUAUAUGCACAAAACAUGCCUCUUUGCUCAUAUAAAUGUGUACAAUGUGUUUUGAGUUUUUGUUUGUGCAUCUCCAUUAAUUAUACUACUUUAGGCCCCCAAAAAAUUUACUGUAGCGGACACCUAAAUUUGUGCCUGCACUGGACAAAGUACUUGGCUCUGCCCUUGAUCUGUUCGAUCCCACUACCUCUAAUAGUGACAUACUGUACCAAACUACGAGAAGAAAAAAAAUGAGAUUUACGUAUAAUUUCACCACAUAUGACAUUCAGAGUUAAUUAUGAAGCAUACCUUGAUGACAUGAAUUCAUUUUGGCAGGACUAUUGAAAAUAGUCGAUUUAGAUAUGUUCAGUUGGCAAACUUUCAAGCAUAACCCAUCUUGAAUUUACAACAAGAAAAAAUCAAAUUACAGGUUAAAGAUUGAAUUUAAAUGGACAUCCAAAAAGGGAUAAGAAAAAGAGGAGAAAAUGAACAACACUUUUUUAAGAAUGAAGUCUGGGAGAAUAAUUUUUUAAUUUUGUACUAGACUGAUAAAUUGAAAAAUGUUAAAUAUUAAAUAAGCUUAGGGCAUCGUCAUGCUAAAAUCCCAGGCAGCCAUUUCCAUUCACUCUUGUGCUUUUGCUUUUCGUAUUAUUUUUAAUUUAAAAUUUAUUAAACCAUAUUUUCAAAAGUGUGUAUGGAAUUAGUUGAAGAUGGGUGGUGGUUGGAGUGGGAAAGAAGAUGGUGGUGGUGUCCAUGUAGGGAUGGGUGGAUGUGACGAUGUUCGGGAUGUAAAAUGAGGCAACUUUCAUGCUCGGGUCGAGUGCCGAAUCAAAGUGGAUCAAUGUGAUAGAAGCGGAUGAAGUUGGAGCCAAAGUCAGCAACUACGCGACCGCAUAGUUCAUCCAAUGAUGCGGUCCCAUACAACCAGGCAAGGAAUUUUUGGGCGUCAAAGGCUUCUUCUAUGCGACCACAGAGAAAAAAUUUAGGCGAAUAUUUUCUUUUUGGGGAUUUUCCAUAUUAGGCUAGAUUUUAUUCUUAUUUCAUAUUAUCGUAAUCUUUGACUUAUAUUGCACGAAUUCUACUAGAUUUUAAGGGUUUGAUACUUAAUAUAAACAUAGGCUUUAUUUCUUCAUUGUAAUACACGACAUUGCACAAAUUUAUUCAAUAAAUUGAGAGAAUCCUUUGAGAGGCA
rnacentral:lncRNA from 1 species